AGCUUUAUAGUCAAAUAUGAUAUAAAAUUGCAAAUUUUAAGGUAAUAUAUAUUUAUAUAUUAAGGCUU
rnacentral:tRNA from 1 species